rnacentral:rRNA from 1 species
UAGUCCACGCCGUAAACGAUGAUCACUCGCUGUUGGCGAUACACAGUCAGCGGCUUAGGGAAACCUUUAAGUGAUCCACCUGGGGAGUACGGUCGCAAGAUUGAAACUCAAAGGAAUUGACGGGGGCCCGCACAAGCGGAGGAGCAUGUGGUUUAAUUCGAUGAUACGCGAGGAACCUUACCUGGGCUUAAAUGUAAGACGAUCGUCCCCGAAAGGGGAUUUUCCUUCGGGACGUCCUACAAGGUGCUGCAUGGUUGUCGUCAGCUCGUGCCGUGAGGUGUCAGGUUAAGUCCUAUAACGAGCGCAACCCCUGUUGUUAGUUACCAGCAUGUAAAGGUGGGGACUCUAACAAGACUGCCGGUGCAAACCGUGAGGAAGGUGGGGAUGACGUCAAAUCAUCACGGCCCUUACGUCUUGGGCUACACACGUGCUACAAUGGCCGGUACAGAGAGCAGCCAGUGGGCGACCACGCGCGAAUCCAUAAAGCCGGUCACAGUUCGGAUCGGAGUCUGCAACUCGACUCCGU